CUGGGCGUGGCACUUGGUGCCAUGGUCUAGUUGACAAGGUGGUGUUGGGUCUCGGCGAUCUCAGAGGUCUUUUCCAAUCUAAAUGAUCCUGUGCUUCUCAGCCGCUCUCCACUACGAUAUUAAGCUUGGGUGGCACAGCGGAGGUGUUCUCUCUUGUGUGUGGUGCUCCCAACCUUCUCCAGUAUCACGCAGAGGAGAGGCUGUUCUGCCCCUCAGGAAAAGCUGUGGGCCAGGGGAAGGUGUGGAGUGGCUGUUGCGUUAUUCUGUGGCAGGGCAAGCUAAAGACACAGCCAGAGCAGAGCACUCUUUUCCCUGCCUUUGAAGUAAGAUGGGGCUUUGCUGAAAAACUUUAGCUUGGAGGUGAUGAAACUGAGAAGCAGUAGAGUUAACAUCAGUGGUGGUGCUGUCAUGAGUGACUGGAAAGGCAAGGACUGUUUCGAUUGAAUCUCCCACCUUACAAAGAUCUCCUCGGCAAACAAAGAUAAUCCCAUGCUGUGCUCUAGGAAAUGUCUAAAUUCUAAAUUGUGAAUUUAGAACCAGAAGUUCUUGGGUUCUUAUUUCCAGAACUGAACUGCUCUAGCAGUCAGGUGCUAAUCUUAAGGUGUAGGCGAUGCCAUGCUAACAGGAGUGGCAUUUGUUGUAUAAAUAUUAGCCCAUUUAUGUUAGUUCAAGGAAGAAAAUGCUUUAGCACUUAAGUGCUAAAGGUGGAAUAGUGCUGUAAUUACAGGAAUUACAUGUACUAUAAAAACGUUAGUCUAUUCACAAUCUAUCUUGUAGCAUGUUUGUUCUCUGAUGGUUUUAACAGAAAAUAAAAAGGCCCUCUUUGUGGAUCAAUGUUUACUCCUGCUAUAUCAGAAAGACAUCCUUCCAAAGAAACUAAGGUGUUGGUUUAAAAGCAUGUAUUGAUAUUCGGAUUAAAAGCUUAAAAUCCUUAUCCAAGGUAGAUGAUGUCUCUGAAAUCAAGAAAAAAAUAGUUGGAAAUGCUCUUAGGCAAUUUGAAGGUCAGAUGGAAUGAAUACAAUUAACUAAGAAAUUUAAAAAUUGCAGUUGUUUAUUUAGGCUUGACUAGAACAUUAUACCACAUGUUGUCCUGCAAGUAACUGUUCAACAGAUGGUCCCUGGCUGUAUUCUGACCAUGACAAACAAUGACAGAGCCAGGGCCUGGAUUUUAAUCAGCAGUGGUCUCCCAAGCAUGGAGAGAGAACCAGCACAGUGCUGUAGAAAGGAGGAAAAACAGUAUUAAUGAAGCAUUCUCUAGAAUCCACCUACAGUUGUCACUUACAAUAAAAUGAAUGAGAAAUUAGGGGAGAAAUUCAUUUAAUAUUGGAAUUGUUCCUCUGCUAAGCAUAGUGAUCAAACUCUGUUGACAUGUCAUUCUCAUGUAAAGAUGCAUCUAUUCUUUUUUUUUUUCUUGCAAAAUAUCCAGAGCAGAGUAACUCAGGUAGUCAUGCAGGCUGUCUGCAGAUUUGCUCCUUUUUUUUUUUUUUUUAAAGAUAGCAUUUUCAAUGUAGAUUAUGCUGCCUACAUAGAAAAGGCUCAUUGUUGUUCUGUCAGCAGAGUUUCCAAACUUUAUUUCUCACAUAAAUCAUUCUUCUUUUGACACCAUUCUAGUAAGCAAGAACUUUAGAAUGUCUUUUAAAAAGAUAAAACAUUUUGUUUAAGUUCUUUUCAAAUAUCUCUCAACACUGGAAAUAGGGCCAUGAAGCAAUCUCUAAUGGCUUUUAACCAUAAACUCCUUAUUCACUGGUCUCCUGUUGGAGGUGCUAUUUUUCCUCUGUCACCAGGUUUGUGUAGUGGAAAAGAUGACCAUCAAAAGCUACCUGAGAUUAACAAAAUUAUCAUGUGGAUACUUCCCCUGUAAUGCAGCUUGGGUUGCAGACAUAUGCUCAUCUACAUUCAAAAUAAAAUACAGGAAGUCCUGUGUAAGUCCCAUAGGUCAAAGAUGGGAAUAGAGGAGAUAUUUCUGGGAACCUUUUCUGUCUUUAGCAAAAGCUUUUUAUAAAUUCUUUAAUAAUUGGACUGAUAUGUAUGUCCAGCAGAACAGUGUGGCACAGCUGUUUAAAGAAGCCACAAAGAAAGAUCAGCAGAAAUGCUGAUAAAAACCCUGAGUGAUGAGAGUACCACUUGUUUUCUGACAUACUGCUGAAUGUUUAACUCGGACUUCCUUUCAUGUCCCACAAUACUGAGGAUUACAGCUCUCUUCCCAAUUACGUUGCAAGUAUUACAUCUGCUGAGUUUGCUCUUUAGACAAAUAAACUCACUCCAUGUUCCGUCAGUGUUCAGAAUGAUCUGUUUUGGCCAGAAGUGAGAGAUGAUGGUUGGUGGCCAGUUUCAGGAAAUACAGUGAUGUUAUGAGAAGCUGAACAGAUGUCAUCAAAAUAACAGGAUAUACUCAAGGCUUUGUUGGACGAUGGAAGGGUGUCUCUGACAAAGUUCAAAGAGGUAGAUUGAGGAAGGUACUGGCUAGGAAAGAGAAAGAGCUAGGGGCAGUGCAGAUGCUAGAACUCAGGCUUAAAACUUCUGCAGAGUUCCCAGGGUGCACACGUAGUAAGGUGAAAUAGAAUACGAUUUUAACAGAGGUAGACCAAAAUUGUAUAGAAAACAGUUUUGAAAAAAUCUGAUCCUUAUGCUCCAUCUUUUGCAACUCUAUCAAGCUGGCAUUUCAACUGGUGUAAAAGCUGUGAUAAAUGACCACUAGAGGUCAUUCAUUGAAUAAGAAAUAAUUCAGGCUUUCAGUUGGCUGGUUUGCUGACUUGGGGUUUAUUUGUUUUGUUCUUUGUCAUUAACAUAAAGAGUGAACUUUACAAGAGAGCUAAGUACUAGAUUUCUGAAGAUAACUGACUAUCCAUGUUCUCCACAGGUCCUCAGUGAUUGUAGGUAGCCCUAUGUGACUGCUGACAUUUUCAGGAGUGCUAAUGAAUUUGAUUGGGAACUAGACAUACACCUAGAAACCUGAAUACUUUGCUGUGUGCUUCUUUAUGUGUUUAGGUACUAUAUAGUUUCACCCUGUCUUUGGCAGAUAGAAGAAAGAAAACGUGUACUGCUUAUUUAAACAUCAGGAGUAAAACUCAUAAACUCUAGACAGAAGGAUCUUCACUAGUGAAGCAGAACUAAAGACAGUACAACUGUGAAGGUGUUUUCCCCUUUCUAUUCCUAUUAAAGCCUCUGUUCAACAUUUGAAGAAAAAUACUUUUUUUUCCCCUUUCUUUUUCCCCAUCUUGGCAUGUGACAUUAAAUGUGUGGGAAAAAAUCUCGUGGCAAACCUGUAAAUAAGCUAAACCUGGUGGGAUCUCUGAAGUAGGAAUGGAGCAGAAGAAGGUUAUCAGCCAGGAAGAUCAGAAGAUGCUUAGAGAAGAAAACUAGAAGGAUCAGCGGUUACACCUCCUGUCAGAUGAGCAAAAGAAAAUGAAGUUCUAUGCAACGGUUCUUAUAUUAAAGCCAAAGAAGGAUGAGCACCUCUUAGCUGUGAUCCUAGCAGGAGAGACAAGCUGAGAAUGAAAGUGAAUGUGAACUAAUGGUUUGUUUUCUUAGGGAUGAGAACAUACAGAGGACUUUCACUUUUGUCAACAAUCCUAGGACAUAAUGUCCCUAGGGCUGUUUUUGCCAAAGCACAACUGUUGAAAAGGAAGUUCCUUCCAAGAGUAGAUGGUUUGCAACUAAAUAAAUACAUUGUACAUAAAGAUUUGCCAAGUAAUUUCUAAUGUCUCUGUACUAUGGAAUUGCUUUCUCACCAGCGACAAAUAUUCUACCACUUUGUUUGCUACUCACUACAUACAUAAUUUAUCUUAAUGAUUGUUUUUGUUAUUAGAAUUCAAACAAAUUUUAUUUGAUGAGGAAGGCCCUUUCUCAGAUUUAUUUGUAAUACAAUUGGAAAGCGAGCCAUUAGGGUGCUUUUCAAUAAUUUAUUGCACUCGGCGUGCAAAUCCACCUCCUAAGAAUAACGUGUUUACGAGAAAAAGUGUCUGUCUCAUCUUGAACACUAAAUAGAGAGCUGUAUCACACACAUACCCACCUGUUGGAAACAACUGUAGCAGUCCCACUAUCUGAUUGCCAAUGCAACCAUGGCACAUUUUGAGAAUCUAACUGAUGUUUACUCCAGGAAUUAUUUCUUCUGAAGAAAUCUUUAGAAAAGCUACUUUAGUUGUCUUUAGGUAGCAGUUGGUUUAGUAAGCAGUUUUGCAAAUCCACAUAAUUUAAAGUUCUAUUUUUUUCUAAAUGGAAUUAGCAAGUUCUGAGAUAAUUUUUAAAUAGGAUUGCCCACAACUUUAAAAGAUGGGAAAAACAUUCUGUAUGAAAAGUGUUAAAAGUGUUGUACACAUGGAUACUAAAAGAUAAAUUAGUGACUUGCCACAGAAUCACUAAGCUUUGAAAGAUCGCUUUGUAAGAAUAACUGCUGAAAAAGUAAAUUAAAGGUUUCCAGAAAA